AUGCUGGAGGCGUGAGCCGGAACGGUUCCCUGGGCGUAGCGCAGAGGCUCUCUGUCCCUGGCUUGCAUCAGUCUGAAAAUCGUUAUCGAUAGGUCAAUUUACACCCAUCGGCGAUUGACCGAAGACCCGUUCACUCGAGAAAGUCAUAAGACUGGCAAUUUGGGGUCAAAGGAACUUUAAUGACCAUGAAAUAUUUUUUAAAAUAAAGAGGUCAAGCUAACGUAGAACGCCACUGAAUUCAUUGGAAAUCGUUGCGAAUCACGUGAAAUUACGCGAUAGCGAUUUCCCAGCAUUGGAAGUCACCGCAAGUCUUGCCUGACUUGGUGUGAUUCACUGUGAUUUAAAUCCUACUGAAAAUCAUCUGUACCGGACUGAAGCGGUUCGCAAUCACGGGUGGAAAUUUGAGUCCAUAAAUAUCACUUGAUAGAUUGACGACGUGAUUUCAACACAAAGUUUUCCACAUGGAGGAACAGCUUCAGGAAUCGCCUACGUUAAUCCGGCGAUUUUCUCUGACAAUCGAUCCCACUUGGAAACCUUACCUUGGA